CCCCACACUCCUGCACCCCACACCCCAUCCCUCCCCAAACCCACAAAUGUAUUCAUGAAUUCGUUUCCGAAAGUUCUCCCUGUGCUCAAGCGGGUGCUGCUUGUAAUUGCUGGCGGCCAAAAUCUGUUCUGUUUUUUCUGGCUGAGCUCUGCCUGUUUCCAAGCUCACUUUAGAUAAGUGACAGCACAACAGAGGAGCCCCAGGGACUCAGGAGUGACUCCAAGCACCUGGGCAAGACAUCACUGACCAAAUGACAGAAUCACUGAGGUUGGAAAAGACCUCCAAGACCAUUGAGUCUGACCUUUGACCCAUCACCACCCUGUCAACUAGACCAGAGCUCUGAGAGCCACGUCCAGUCAUUAAAUGGCAAAAGUGGAGUUGAAAA